UGAAAUGACCAGCAAAGAGGACGAGACACAGAAGAGAAACAGAGCAAGAAACGAGUCAGACGGAGCAGCAUUAAUAGAGAAACACCAAACUUUUCUCAUGAUUCAGACAGACCUGCAGAGAUUCAGUUUGAUGAUUGAUGAGAGACAUUCGCAGAUGAGAUGAUAAAGCAUCAAGCUUUUAUUACAGCAGAAAACAGCAGGAAGCCCUU